rnacentral:rRNA from 1 species
GACGAACGCUGGCGGCAUGCUUAACACAUGCAAGUCGAACGGAAAGGCCCUGCUUUUGUGGGGUGCUCGAGUGGAGAACGGGUGAGUAACACGUGAGUAACCUGCCCUUGACUUUGGGAUAACUUCAUAAAACUGGGGCUCAUACCGGAUAGGAGCUCCUGCUUCUUGGUGGGGGUUGGAAAGUUUCGGCGGUUGGGGAUGGACUCGCGGCUUAUCAGCUUGUUGGUGGGGUAGUGGGUUAGCAAGGCUUUGCCGGGUAGCCGGCCUGCUCGGGGGACCUGCCACGUUGGGCUGGAGAUACGGCCCAGACUCCAACGGGAGGGAGGGGUGGGGUAUGUUAUACUAGGGGCGGAACCCUGACGUAGUAAAGCCGCGUGCGGUAUGAGGGGCUUCGGGUAGGGUUCCGAUUUCGCCUGUGACGAAGCGUGAGUGACGGUAACGGGUAAAGAAGCACCGGCUAACUACGUG